GAAGAAGAGACAGUAGCAGCAACCGGCGGCAAAAAGAAGAUAAUUAUGUAUUGAUCGCACUCAUUGAAUAAGUUGUUAUUGUUGGUGAAAAAGAAGAUGUUGUCCUCAAUCGUGCUACUAACAAUUUCGAUUCAAGAUCGAAGAAUAUGCAUGAAUGAGAAUCAUUUGUGGAUUGAAAGAAGAGUUGUUAUGUAUUUGUUUGCAUCCAUUGAAGAGUAAAUAAUUGCUUGAGAUUUUUUCAUUCGAUGAAGUCCGUUGAUAUUGUAAUUUGUUGUGCAUCUCAGUGGAGUUGUAGUUGAAAAUCAUUUAAUUAGCUCAUUGUGAGAUUCAACUGUAAUUGAAAUGGGUUUAUGUUAUUCGGAUUAUUCAGA